GGGCCUAUAGCUCAGCUGGCAGAGCAUCGGACUUUUAAUCCGCGGGUCGCGGGUUCGAGCCCCGCUGGGCCCA
rnacentral:tRNA from 1 species